UACGGAGGGGGCUAGCGUUGUUCGGAAUUACUGGGCGUAAAGCGCACGUAGGCGGAUUGGAAAGUCGGGGGUGAAAUCCCAGGGCUCAACCCUGGAACUGCCUUCAAAACUCCCAGUCUGGAGGUCGAGAGAGGUGAGUGGAAUUCCGAGUGUAGAGGUGAAAUUCGUAGAUAUUCGGAGGAACACCAGUGGCGAAGGCGGCUCACUGGCUCGAUACUGACGCUGAGGUGCGAAAGCGUGGGGAGCAAACAGG
rnacentral:rRNA from 1 species